CACUGAGCGCAGCGGGGAGCCACGAGAGAAGGAGGCCCCCCCAGCUCUCGGUGCGUGCGGCCCGGCACGGGACGGAAAACGGUGUUACAGGCCAGGAGGCUGUCGCUGCGGAAGACUGAACCACUGAGAGGACAACAGAGAGAAAAUGAGGACAACGCUCAGUUGGCUGGUGGCGUUUUCCAGUGUUGAGUUUUAUAAUUUUAAAGAUACUAUGCAUCGAACAGAGAGAGCACGUGAGCAGAUGGUAGAAUCACCGUGUUGAACACACGGUAAAGAAUGCACACGGAACACACAAUACUCCUAAGGAAGAAACAGCCGUGGCAGGCCUGCGUCUGCUUUCUGCUUCCCCGCGUGAGAGAAACACCGGUGGCGACGGCACUGCGGACGGAGACGCAAGGUGGCCCCCAUGCGGGGCCCUCGCACGGCUCCGGUGUCCAGCCCCCUCCGAGGGGCCCCCUUCCGGUCCGGCACUUUCCCGCUGCUGCGGCUCCUCGGUGCAAGCCCAGCCCUGGGCUCCUCUGUGCGGCCGGCCUCUCCU